rnacentral:misc_RNA from 1 species
GAUGAAGAACGUAGCGAAAUGCGAUAAGUAAUGUGAAUUGCAGAAUUCAGUGAAUCAUCGAAUCUUUGAACGCACAUUGCGCCCGGUAGUAUUCUGCCGGGCAUGCCUGUUCGAGCGUCAUUUCAACCAUCAAGCCUCAGCGCUUGUGUUGGGGGCCUGCGGCUGCCGCAGCCCCCUAAAAGCAGUGGCGGGCUCGCUAUCACACCGAGUGCAGUAGUUCAUCUUCUCUCCGGUCUUGUGAGGCGGGUUCCGGCCGUGAAACACCCCACUACAUUCAAGGUUGACCUCGGAUCAGGUAGGAAUACCCGCUGAACUUAAGCAUAUCAAUAAGCGGAGGA